rnacentral:rRNA from 1 species
CGCGGCCUAUCAGCUUGUUGGUGAGGUAAUGGCUUACCAAGGCUUCGACGGGUAACCGGCCUGAGAGGGUGACCGGUCACACUGGGACUGAGACACGGCCCAGACUCCUACGGGAGGCAGCAGUGGGGAAUAUUGCACAAUGGGCGAAAGCCUGAUGCAGCGACGCCGCGUGGGGGAUGACGGCCUUCGGGUUGUAAACCUCUUUCGCCAGGGACGAAGAGCAAUUGACGGUACCUGGAGAAGAAGCACCGGCCAACUACGUGCCAGCAGCCGCGGUAACACGUAGGGUGCGAGCGUUGUCCGGAAUUAUUGGGCGUAAAGAGCUCGUAGGCGGUGUGUCGCGUCGGCCGUGAAAACUUGGGGCUUAACUCUGAGCGUGCGGUCGAUACGGGCAUCACUUGAGUUCGACAGGGGAGACUGGAAUUCCUGGUGUAGCGGUGAAAUGCGCAG